UGGCUUGGACAGAUCCUCUCUGAGGAGAGAGGGAAGCUCUUGAGUUCCCUCUGCAGAGGGAGUUCCCAGGAACAGGCAGCCUUGCCUACAGAAUUCACCACUUAAAACUGACAUUCCGCCAACAAAGACUAAGAAAGGAAAAGAAACAUAAUGAGUAAUCUGAAGAGACCGCCAUGCUGUGCUGAAAAAGGCCUUUAGAAAAUAACUGAAAGAAAGCAGAGAACAAACACCACCAGCUCCCCUCCCUGUCAUCAACACUGAAGUACUUUGCUGAAGCAAAAUGUUAAGAAGCUGGGACUGGACAUUUAAAGAGUUGAAAGUUACUGAAUUUUCUGCCCAACCUGAUGGGUGGAGAGAUUCAGUGCCCAGCUCUGCAGUACUGCCUUGGAGAUGCCUCCUUUUGGCUUUUGUGCCUUGUUCCACGGGGAGCCUCUCAGCAGAGUGGGUUUAACUG